UAGGGAAUCUUCCACAAUGGGCGCAAGCCUGAUGGAGCAACACCGCGUGAGUGAAGAAGGGUUUCGGCUCGUAAAGCUCUGUUGUUAAAGAAGAACACGUAUGAGAGUAACUGUUCAUACGUUGACGGUAUUUAACCAGAAAGCCACGGCUAACUACGUACCAG
rnacentral:rRNA from 1 species